GACGAACGCUGGCGGCGUGCCUAAUACAUGCAAGUAGAACGCUGAAGGAGGAGCUUGCUUCUCCGGAUGAGUUGCGAACGGGUGAGUAACGCGUAGGUAACCUGCCUGGUAGCGGGGGAUAACUAUUGGAAACGAUAGCUAAUACCGCAUAAGAGUAGAUGUUGCAUGACAUUUGCUUAAAAGGUGCAAUUGCAUCACUACCAGAUGGACCUGCGUUGUAUUAGCUAGUUGGUGGGGUAACGGCUCACCAAGGCGACGAUACAUAGCCGACCUGAGAGGGUGAUCGGCCACACUGGGACUGAGACACGGCCCAGACUCCUACGGGAGGCAGCAGUAGGGAAUCUUCGGCAAUGGGCGGAAGUCUGACCGAGCAACGCCGCGUGAGUGAAGAAGGUUUUCGGAUCGUAAAGCUCUGUUGUAAGAGAAGAACGAGUGUGAGAGUGGAAAGUUCACACUGUGACGGUAUCUUACCAGAAAGGGACGGCUAACUACGUGC
rnacentral:rRNA from 1 species